GGGGGCGACCUGGUUUCGACGUGGUCGAUUCUCCGGCUGAGCUGCAAGCCGAGGUCCCCGGUAGGCCUCGUAAAUCCACCGGGAAACAAAGUAAGUGCGAAGAACGAACUCGCAAUCGCUGCCUAACCUAGUUAGCUAGCGACGUCGCCCCGACCUGGGCCCGUGGGUCGGGAUCCGGCGCCAGACAACGGGCUCGGCGCCGAGGGAGAGCCAAUCGCCCGAGGCGCGACACCGAAGGAUGGCUAGCCCGUCGGUAGGUCGGCUGCACACCGGCCGCCGGGCGAAUUCCAAGGGCAGCCUACGCUUGUAGAUGCUCAGACCGGUGCGUCCGCGGACGCGGGUUCGAUUCCCGCCGCCUCCAUUU
rnacentral:tmRNA from 1 species